AUUGAACGCUGGCGGCAGGCCUAACACAUGCAAGUCGAACGAGUGGCGGACGGGUGAGUAAUGUAUGGGAAACUGCCUGAUGGAGGGGGAUAACUACUGGAAACGGUAGCUAAUACCGCAUACUAUAAGAUGUGCCCAUAUGGGAUUAGCUGGUUGGUGGGGUAACGGCUCACCAAGGCGACGAUCCCUAGCUGGUUUGAGAGGAUGACCAGCCACACUGGGACUUGGACACGGUCCAGACUCCUACGGGAGGCAGCAGUGGGGAAUAUUGGACAAUGGGCGCAAGCCUGAUGCAGCCAUCCCGCGUGUAUGAAGAAGGCCUUCGGGUUGUAAAGUACUUUCAGCGGGGAGGCGUUACCCGCAGAAUAAGCACCGGCUAACUCCGUGCCAGCAGCCGCGGUAAUAC
rnacentral:rRNA from 1 species